UUCCGGUUGAUCCUGCCGGACCUGACUGCUAUCGGAUUGAUACUAAGCCAUGCGAGUCAUUGUAGCAAUACAAGGCAUACGGCUCAGUAACGCGUAGUCAACCUAACCUAUGGACGGGAAUAACCUCGGGAAACUGAGAAUAAUGCCCGAUAGAACAUUAUACCUGGAAUGGUUUAUGUUCCAAAUGAUUUAUCGCCGUAGGGUGGGACUGCGGCCUAUCAGUUUGUUGGUGAGGUAAUGGCCCACCAAGACUAUUACAGGUACGGGCUCUGAGAGGAGUAGCCCGGAGAUGGGUACUGAGACACGGACCCAGGCCCUAUGGGGCGCAGCAGGCGAGAAAACUUUGCAAUGUGCGAAAGCACGACAAGGUUAAUCCGAGUGAUUUCUGCUAAAGAAAUCUUUUGUUAGUCCUAGAAACACUAACGAAUAAGGGGUGGGCAAGUUCUGGUGUCAGCCGCCGCGGUAAAACCAGCACCUCAAGUGGUCAGGAUGAUUAUUGGGCCUAAAGCAUCCGUAGCCGGCUCUGUAAGUUUUCGGUUAAAUCUGUACGCUUAACGUACAGGCCGCCGGGAAUACUGCAAAGCUAGGGAGUGGGAGAAGUAGACGGUACUCGGUAGGAAGUGGUAAAAUGCUUUGAUCUAUCGAUGACCACCUGUGGCGAAGGCGGUCUACUAGAACACGUCCGACGGUGAGGGAUGAAAGCUGGGGGAGCAAACCGGAUUAGAUACCCGGGUAGUCCCAGCUGUAAACUAUGCAAACUCAGUGAUGCAUUGGCUUGUGGCCAAUGCAGUGCUGCAGGGAAGCCGUUAAGUCUGCCGCCUGGGAAGUACGUACGCAAGUAUGAAACUUAAAGGAAUUGGCGGGGGAGCACCACAAGGGGUGAAGCCUGCGGUUCAAUUGGAUUCAACGCCGGG
rnacentral:rRNA from 1 species